rnacentral:misc_RNA from 1 species
GUGCGAUUUGAUAAGAGAUGGUAAUUGAAAAGGCGAUUUUAAUUUUACCUUUUCGGGCGGGAAUUAUAGGACGCGAUAUUAGGGGAAAGUGGAGGAGGGUAAUUUUAUCUGUGGUGGAUUGCUGAUCAAUCUCAGCUCAGAUGAUUUAAAAAGCCCAAGGAGGAGUGGGAGGAGGAUAGCACCGCUCCUCAGCCCGGAGGAGG